GAUGAACGCUGGCGGCGUGCCUAAUACAUGCAAGUCGAGCGAACGGACGAGAAGCUUGCUUCUCUGAUGUUAGCGGCGGACGGGUGAGUAACACGUGGAUAACCUACCUAUAAGACUGGGAUAACUUCGGGAAACCGGAGCUAAUACCGGAUAAUAUUUUGAACCGCAUGGUUCAAAAGUGAAAGACGGUCUUGCUGUCACUUAUAGAUGGAUCCGCGCUGCAUUAGCUAGUUGGUAAGGUAACGGCUUACCAAGGCAACGAUGCAUAGCCGACCUGAGAGGGUGAUCGGCCACACUGGAACUGAGACACGGUCCAGACUCCUACGGGAGGCAGCAGUAGGGAAUCUUCCGCAAUGGGCGAAAGCCUGACGGAGCAACGCCGCGUGAGUGAUGAAGGUCUUCGGAUCGUAAAACUCUGUUAUUAGGGAAGAACAUAUGUGUAAGUAACUGUGCACAUCUUGACGGUACCUAAUCAGAAAGCCACGGCUAACUACGUGCCAGCGGCCGCGGUAAUACGUAGGUGGCAAGCGUUAUCCGGAAUUAUUGGGCGUAAAGCGCGCGUAGGCGGUUUUUUAAGUCUGAUGUGAAAGCCCACGGCUCAACCGUGGAGGGUCAUUGGAAACUGGAAAACUUGAGUGCAGAAGAGGAAAGUGGAAUUCCAUGUGUAGCGGUGAAAUGCGCAGAGAUAUGGAGGAACACCAGUGGCGAAGGCGACUUUCUGGUCUGUAACUGACGCUGAUGUGCGAAAGCGUGGGGAUCAAACAGG
rnacentral:rRNA from 1 species